GUAGAUCAUCAUCAUAACAGCUCCCAGUGAAUCAAUGCCUCCCUGCAUCCACACCCCUUUGUAACAUGAUAUUGUUGCUCUUCCCAUCAAGAAAUGGUCUCUUUUGGCCGGGCACAGUAGCUCACGUCAUCCCAGCACCUUGGGAGGCUGAGGCAGGCAGAUGGCUUGAGUGUAACAAUAUGUUGAAUUUGCCAUGGGCCUUUAAAGCUUCAAUGUUGUGAAGAGCUCUGCAUGAAAUUUUAAAGAGACUGGACCUUUCAUCUGCACAACAGCAGGGCACCUCGCUAUAGGGACAAGAAAGGAAGAGAGAGAGAGAACAUUUCUGAAGUAAUAGUGAAAAAUAACAGCAGAAGCAAUUAUUUCAUCAAAGAUUGCAGGGAGAGGCUCCUCCGUGCUCCUGAGAGGCCGAACACAGGGUCCCCAGCACAGCUUUCUGCUCGGUGUCUCCUGAGCCACGGAAGAAGACAUGUGGCAGGAGCACCUGGUGCUAAUAUAUAUUCAUGUCUAUGGCAAUGCCGACCAUCUGGCUGGUCUGAACCAGGAUAAAAGUGAAGACUUCCUCUGUGAAGACCCAGCUCUUUCUUUGGCUCCUUUCUUGAAGCCAUCUUUGCUCUGCUCUCCUCUGCUGCCCAGAAAGUUCCAGAGUGAAGCUCAGCUCUAGAUGAACAAAAACUGGUUGAGUCCGGAGAUGCCUGAGUUGGAGAUGAACCUUGCGAACUUUCCUCAUUACCAUACUAAAAACCCCACCCAGGAAGGAGCUUAUCUGCCAUUUCCUACACAUGUGACAUAUGGAGAAGCAUGAUCAGCUACUUCACAGUCUCUGCCUUUACUCUGCCUCCGCAUACAAUGGCUCAGCUAACUAGCCUAACCAAAGCUGUUUUCACCAUUGUUUGGGAGGUACUGCUUUGGGAAACUGCCCCAGCUGUCCUCCUUACUUGUUGUAGGUAAUAAAAUCCCUUUGUUAAAUC
rnacentral:lncRNA from 1 species